GGCGGCGUGCCUAAUACAUGCAAGUAGAACGCUGAAGGAGGAGCUUGCUUCUCUGGAUGAGUUGCGAACGGGUGAGUAACGCGUAGGUAACCUGCCUGGUAGCGGGGGAUAACUAUUGGAAACGAUAGCUAAUACCGCAUAAGAGCAGUUGUUGCAUGACAGCUGUUUAAAAGGUGCAAUCGCACCACUACCAGAUGGACCUGCGUUGUAUUAGCUAGUUGGUGAGGUAACGGCUCACCAAGGCGACGAUACAUAGCCGACCUGAGAGGGUGAUCGGCCACACUGGGACUGAGACACGGCCAGACUCCUACGGGAGGCAGCAGUAGGGAAUCUUCGGCAAUGGGGGCAACCCUGACCGGGCAACGCCGCGUGAGUGAAGAAGGUUUUCGGAUCGUAAAGCUCUGUUGUAAGAGAAGAAACGAGUGUGAGAAGUGGAAAA
rnacentral:rRNA from 1 species